GCAUUUCCGGAAUCUUCCAUCGCACAAUCGCCUGCCACAGAGCGGCAGAGCUCCCGCAACCGCAGGGCUUUUGCCGCCUGGUGCCCUCGACCGCCUCGGGGUGAUGGCGUUGGAAUGGCUUGGAUCCCAAUCUGUCGGAUUGCUACAAGGUUCCCUAUUUUUCCCGAUUUGCUCCAUAUCGGUGCCUACGGCUUGAUUUCCCCCCUUCCUCCCCACUGCUGAAAAAUUCUUUUGUUCGGACAGGCUGAAAUUGGUGAGGUGAGCUUGUACUGUAGUUUGCGCGGCUGUGAUGCGAUGCGACGCGCGAGCGCAAAGACGGCUAGCUGGGCUAUUCGGCCUGUCAUAAAUAAUGAAUGGCCC
rnacentral:sRNA from 1 species